rnacentral:misc_RNA from 1 species
GUUUGGUUUCCGAGAAUUGGAAUUUCUCUCUCGCUUUUUUUAUACGUAUGUUAUCGAGGCCUUGGUGCCAUAUUUAAUUGUUAAUUGAAGUCUCGGACUCAGUUGAUUCUUCAUUUGCCAAACAUUUCUUCACCAACCGAGUCAGCUGUGUGAUGCAUAUUUAUUUUCUCACUUAAGUAUCUAAUACUACAUUAUUUUGCGGGGUUAUCGAGCAUCAUUG